rnacentral:rRNA from 1 species
GACGAACGCUGGCGGCGUGCUUAACACAUGCAAGUCGAACGGAAAGGCCCUGCUUGCAGGGUACUCGAGAGGCGAACGGGUGAGUAAAACGUGGGGGAGCUGCCCUGUACUUCGGGAUAAGCCUGGGGAACAGGGUCUAAUAUCGGAUAGGGGACGUUUGUAGGGUGGUGGUUGGAAAGUGUUUUCGGUGGAGGUUGGGCCCGCGGGCUAUCAGCUUGUUUGUGGGGGUAUGGCCUACCAAGGGGGCGGCGGGGAGCCGGCCCGGGGGGGUGGAAGGCCACCUUUGGGCUGGGAUUCGGCCCCGACUCCCACCGGGGGCAGCCGUGGGGAAUUUUUCCCCAUUGGCGCAAGCCUGAUUCAGCGGCGCCGCGGUGGGGAUGACCGCCUUCGGGUUGGAAACUCCUUUCGCUAGGGACGAAGCUUUUUGUGACGGUACCUAGAUAAGAAGCACCGGCUAACUACGUG